rnacentral:rRNA from 1 species
AUACGUAGGUGGCGAGCGUUGUCCGGAAUUACUGGGUGUAAAGGGAGCGUAGGCGGGAGCGCAAGUUGAAUGUCAAAUCCAUCGGCUCAACCGGUGGCCGCGUUCAAAACUGCGAUUCUUGAGUGGGGUAGAGGCAGGCGGAAUUCCUAGUGUAGCGGUGAAAUGCGUAGAUAUUAGGAGGAACACCAGUGGCGAAGGCGGCCUGCUGGGCCUUAACUGACGCUGAAGCUCGAAAGCGUGGGGAGC